AUGCCCACUAACAAUCCACUACCUCCUAAAGAAAAUGCCCUUUUUAAAAGAAUAUUGGUGAGUGAGUUUGCACAUUUCACAAAAAGGGGGGAAGUUACCAAGGCCAAGGGGCCAAUCAAGAAACUUAAGAAUGUGAUAUUUAAAGAAAGACAAAUAUUUCCCUGACAUUAGAAUAAAACCUCAACAGAUCCCAGACUAACUUAAGAUUGAGCAUCAGGAAUUUCCUUUGAAAUGGGAAUUGGUGUUGUUGCUUACUUGUCUAGCUUUUUAACAGGUUUUGUUCCAUCACAGGUCAUCUUGCUACACUUAAGUGUUGCUCAUGGCAAGUUGUAAUUCAUGGAUUGAAGAGCCCCUGCAAAAGUAUCCCAUGCAAUUUUUUUGUGCAUUAUGAUUUUGCAUGUUUAUGAUGCCAGGAAUAUUUUGAACAAGUGUAGACCUACAAUGUAUGAAGAAUGAUUAAUCUAUAUAGAGGGACUCAUUAUGUAGAAUCCAUGAUAUCUCGGUCUAUAAAAAAAUCGGACUAUAACAAAGUCAGACUGGUGGGGUGGGGGGGGGGGGGGGGUCUGCAUGCGCACCUUAGUCAUGACAUAAUAAUCAGCUCGUUGAUUGUGGUCAUUAUCAGGCAGAAGCAGAAGCAGAAGACUAUAACAAACUCGGCCUAUAAGAUAAUGGGCCUCCCAGAAUCGGACUAUAACCAAUUCGGACUACUAGAAGAAAAUAAGUAUAAUGUUGGUUGAUGUUGUUGUUAUUGGAAAUUAAUUCUCAAUUCUUAAUUUAAAAUGAAUUGUUAUCUACAAUUAAUUAAAUAAUAUUAUAUGCAUAUGUUAAUUAAUUAUGACAUCAUGUCACGUGUAUCGUUGACACCUUUUUAAUCACCAUCAGUUAAACAAACAACUGGCACAUGUACUGUUGACACCUAUCUAAUCACCCAAGUCGGGACAAAACUACCUGUUAUUGCACGAAAUUGGAAACUAAAAAUCCAACUAAAUAUGUCUUGUCUUGUAUUGUCUAGAACUGAACUUCAGUUUUUUUUUAUUACAAAUCUUGUGUUAUAUCAUGUAUAUUAAGACAAUUUAGUGAAUUGUAGUUUUUCUGGUUUCUGAUCAUAGUUUGUAUGGUGGACUCUUGGUGUGAUUUAUCUGUACAAUGUAAUACUAUUUAAUAAAGAACACAUAUGGUUUACAAAUUUUAUUUCAGUAGAUGUCGACAAACAAUUCACAUAACAAUGAUUUCGUCAUUCAACAAUAUCUAAUAUUACUUACAAAAAAUAUAAGGCAUAUAUAAAACACAUACAUGACAUAAAGCACAUUUUAAACUCAAAAGGCAUUUUGUCAUCAUCUAAGACUGAAAGCAUGCAGAUAUAAUUGGUCAUUGUCAAAGCACACUUUAAGCAUACAUAGCACAUUUAAAACACUAACAUAGCACAUACAAAACAUACAUAUAGCACAUCUGAGUCAUAUCUAAGACACUUAUUUUAUUAUGGCUACUGGUAUAUAGACUGCUUAUACUGCACAUGUUUAAAAGUAGGACUUAACUGGCAAUAGUUGGUCCUAGAAUCUUGGUUAAGAUUUUCUGAAUUGUUAGACAGUCCUUUUGUUUUGUACAUUAAUUUGGCGGUUAGUUUUCUUGUCAGAAUAAUUUCACCUUUGUGAUUUGAGGUCCUUUUAUAGCUUACUAUGCAGUUUGGGCUUUGCUCAUUGUUGAAGAUUAUAAUCAUUAUACAGCAGGUUCCUUGAAAUCUUUUUUUCCCUGUUGGUCCUUGAAGAAAAAUGUUUGACCUCACUACUAUUUCUAUUACAAAAUACUAAAAUUGUGUCGGUCUUUUUCAAAUUUUGGUGGUCAAAUUCUUCGAACCACACUUUUUUGAGAACUCUGGUCUGGUGACCUACAGCUGUUAAUCUCUUUGUGACUUUGUCAUUUGGUGUUUUGUUGAGAAGUGUUUCACUGGCAAUCAUACCACAUCUUCUUUUUUCUUAAACUUUUAAAAGAUAUAUUGUGAACUAUUCAGAUUAGCUGAAAAUAAAUUAAAUUCAUUGUAAUUCAUAAUAUUGUUUUGUUUUUUUGUAGAAAUGUUAUGAACAGAAACAGUACAAAAAUGGGUUGAAGUUUGCUAAACAGAUUUUAAGCAAUCCUAAAUUUAAUGAACAUGGAGGUAAUAUAUUUGUAGUGUAUUAAAUGAAGUGUCUGAUUUCACAUAUAAUAUUUUGCUAUGUCCCCACCCUCAAACAGUGUCCUAUGAAAAAAGUUUUAGUCUGGUGUCUGAUAUCACAUAUUUUGCUAUUCCCCCCCCCCCCAAAAAAAAAACCAAAACAAACAGUGUCCUAUGAAAAAUAGGAUUAGUCUGGUGUCUUUGUCAACUAGAUGGGGACUAGGUUGUAAGCUGUCAUCCCCAACAGGUCCCUUUUGGUCAAUAUAUAGAUUUUAGAAAAUAGCAAUAAUGAGAAUUAAUCAUCUUGAAUAUUUUGCUUGAGGGAUACCAUUAACCUCUUUCACUGAAAAAUAUUUAAAUUGAUAUAAAGAUUUUAUGAUAUGAUAAGGAAUUACAUAUUUUCAUUCCAGAAACUUUGGCCAUGAAAGGACUGACUCUUAAUUGCCUUGGGAGGAAAGAAGAAGCAUUAGACCAUGUAAAGAGAGGUUUACGUAAUGACCUACGAAGUCAUGUCUGUAUCCUUUUGUCUUUUAAUUAAAGAACAAAUUAGACUUUAGAAAUACAAAACGAAAGACGAAAUAUUUUAUUAAAGAAAGCUCAUUUAUGAACAUAAUCAUUAAUAGCAUAGAUAAAACAAAGAAUCAAUUUAAACAAUCUAACUUAAUACUACACACGUAUCAAAAUACUAUGUGUUCCAAGGGGAUGUGCUUUAUACUUAAAACUACCAUAAUUUACUGUAAAGAGGGGGGGGGGGGGGGGGGGGGCAGAAUGCACGUCUAGCAGAACAACUGACUUUAAAAUUUUAACAUAAAGAAUUACUAGUAUAAUUUUGAUAACAUUUCUGGUCUUUGUUAUUUAGUUAUUUGUGAUAAAGAGAAGUUUUAAAGCUUAAACUUUGUAUGUUGUUUGCCAAAAAUAGGGAUUUUUUACUCAACCAUUUAAAAAUGCCAAGGAGAACCAUGUUAUUCCUUAACCAACAACAGGUUGGCAUGUUUUUGGACUUUUACAAAGAUCUGAAAGAAAGUAUGAUGAAGCUAUAAAGGCCUACAGAAAUGCUUUAAAAUGGGAUAAGGUAUGUAAUUAUUUAGCUUGAAACAUUUGUUUUACAAGUCUUGUAUGAAAACCAGUUAUCUAUUACAACAAGUUCGUAAAUUCUCUACUGGAAGCCUAGUCACAUAAUAAACAGGUUCAUAAAAUGAAAAAAGACUAUAUAGAAAAUAAUAGAAUUGUAUAGUAAGUCUAAGGGUUAGACAUGUAACUGGAACCAAACAUAUUUUUUUCUGAAUAAAUUUGUUCGGAGAUGAAAUAUUUAUAAAACAAGACUUGACCAUGUUGACUGUGGCAACAAAAAUGAACUUUCGAAGAAAUUUUACUAAACUUAAUGUCUGAUGUUUAUCAAACACAAUAGAAAGAAAUCCUCCAUAAGAGCAGUUGAAGUAAAUUAUAAAGAUAACAGAAUCUUUAAACUUUUCUUUCAUACAUGUAUAUGAAGUUCAACAAGCUUCUGGGGAUAUGUUUACAAAUAAGAGACAAGCUUUGAUAUUUAUUCAUAUUUACAAGAUAGAGAAAUUUGAUUAUUACAGCUAAUUUCCUAAUGCUUGUAAAGUAAAACUUUGGUAGGUAAUACCUUGUAAUCUUUGUAAUUAAGAUUGACAUCUUCAAACAAUAUAUAUAGGCAUAAUUUAACCUGUAUACAUUAUAUCUUAAUUUUAUUGGACCUUAUCCAAAUUACAACUGUAAAAUAUACAAACAAAGCAUUACAUGCAGUAGGAAAUUAGCUGUAAUACAUUGCAUUUAAACUGAAUUGUAUAUAUUUUACAUAGGAUAAUCUACAGAUCUUGAGGGACUUAUCUUUACUGCAAAUACAGAUGAGAGACCUGGAAGGUUAUCGAGUAAGUACUAAAACAGUUUGAGUAGGUAAUGAAUGAAAAGAAUAUUAAUGGAUGGACAGUUUAUUAUUGAUAAUAAAGUAAGGAUUAAUUUUGUAUGACAUAGCAUUGUAGUAUUUUUCUUGUCCUGCAAUCAACCAACUAUUGUACAAAUAACAGGUACUCAAUUAAGUUUUUCUUUUAUUUGUACUUGUACUAAAAAAAAGCGUCCUGUUACCCUACUUAUGUAUUCAGCAAGCAUUAAUGUUGAUAUUUCUUUUAUCGUCACAGUUCAUUUUUGGGUCCCAUGGUCAAAUGAAAAUAAAUCGACUGCUGCCAUGAAUUAUUUUUAUGCCCCACCUACAAAGUAGAGGGGCAUUAUGUUUUCAGGUCUGUACGUCCGUUAGUCCAUCCGUCAGUUCUUCUGUACGUCCGUUCGUCCUGCUUCAGGUUUAAGUUUUUGGUCAAGGUAGUUUUUGAGGAAGUUGAAGUCCAAUCAACUUGAAACUUAGUACACAUGUUCCUCAUGAUAUAUCUCUAAUUUUAAUGCCAAAUAAGAGUUUUUACCCCAAUUUCACAGUCCACAGAACAUAGAAAAUGAUAGUGCGAGUGGGGCAUCCAUGUACUGGGGACACAUUCUUGUUUAGUAUACAUUUAAUCGCUAAGAUUAAUAAUAAAAAUAUGGUUGUUUAAGUGUUCUCUAAAUUGAUUAUGCCGCCUACUAGUUAUUAUAUUGGUUGCACAACAAUUGAGAUGGGGUUCAAAUGACACCUUUAUAGCAUGAAUCUGUUUUGCUCACAAUACCUGACUGGAAUUUGUCCAAACUUAUUUUAUUUUCUCCAUUUGUUGUGUAGAUAAGCAUCCUUGAUUCUUAAAUAUUUCAUUUAGGUGUUAAAUUUAAUAUUAAUUAAAUAGGGCUAUUUGAAUAUCUGAAUAAAGAUUAAAGAGCAGAGUGUUUUGGUAUGAUUUAUGUUAUAGCUCCAGAUCUUGAUCUGACAAUAAUUUGCUGUUUCUUUGUAUUUUUUUAGGAGACUAGGUACCAGCUUUUAGUGUUACGUCCUGGACAAAGAGCUUCAUGGAUUGGUUAUGCCAUGUCUUAUCAUUUGAUGAAGGAUUUUGAUAUGGCUUUAAGUAUUCUAGAAGAAUUCCGAAAGACACAGAUGGUAGGUAGUUUACUAUUAAAGACAUCAUGAUCAAGUCAUCCAACCUUUUUGAAAAUUUACUAUUUGAUAAAAAAUACAUGAAACAAAUUGAUUGUAAUUAUCUACUCUCUUUAAAUAAAUGUAGCUUACUUGUAUUCUUAACCUUGAUAUAAAAUGUAUUAAGUCUGAGAUUAAGCACUUGAUAGGAUGGCUGCGUAGAAGGAAAGAUAGAGAAUAUAUAUGUCAGUGAAACAGCAACCCAACAAAAUCAGGAUCAUUCAAUUUUAGCAUGACUCAUUGUCCUUAAAUUAAAUGUCAAACCUUAAACCUUUUAUGUUGAACAAUGUCUAAUGAAAGUGUUUUUACUUGUAGCCGAAAGCUGGAGAUUAUGAGCACAGUGAAUUACUCAUGUAUCAAAAUAUGGUGGUAAGGGAGGCAGGCAUGUUGGAGGAAGCUUUGCAUCAUUUAGAUAGAUAUGAAAGUCAAAUUGUAGACAAACUAUCAUUACAGGAGAUAAGGGGUAAGGAUGGCAAACGGGAAAUAUCUAGUAAUCUUUAAAGGCAUGUGCACAUGAUUUCUAUGGACUAUUGAUACAGUAGACUCCACCUAAUCGGAUAUCGGCUAAACGAAUUUAUCGGCUAAUGUAAUAUUUUUUCAAAAUACCAAACCCUUUCCUAUAUGUUUAAUGUUAAUUUUAUCGUGUAAUCGAAUAUCAGAUAUAAGAAUAUAUCGGCAAAUCGGAUAAAAAUAUUCAGGUAAUUUGGUUAAAAACCAUGUACAAUCAGAUAUUUUCAAUGUUUCUCUGACAGGAAAUGGACCCGGAAGUUACGAAUUUGCAACCUUGCAGACAAGAAGAUUUUGUUUUUAUGCCCCACCUACGAUAGUAGAGGGGUAUUAUGUUUUCUGGUCUGUGCCUCCUUCCGUCCGUCUGUGCCUAUGUUUGUCUGUCCGAUUAAAGUUUUUGGUCGAAGUAGUUUUUGAUGAAGCUGAAGUCCAAUCAACUUGAAACUUAAUACACAUGUUCCCCAUGAUAUGAUCUUACUAAUUUUAAUGCCAAAUUAUAGUUUUGACCCCAAUUUCAUAUUCCACUGAACAUAGAAAAUGAUAGUGCAAAGUUCAGGUUAAAGUUUUUGGUCAAGGUAGUUUUUGAUGAAGUUAAAGUUACAUCAACUUGAAACUUAGUACACAUGUUCCCUAUGAUAUGAUCUUUCUAAUUUUAAUUCCAAAUUAAAGUUUUGACCCCAAUUUCACGGUCCACUGAACAUAGAAAAUGAUAGUGGGAGUGGGGCAUCCGUGUACUAUGGACACAUUCUUGUUAAUAAAUAAAAAGGAUCUAUUUCUCAUUAAUUAAAUUGUUGUCUUUAUUCAUUGUUCCUUUGUCAUUUGAAUUAGAUGCCCUUUUACUUCAAAUGGUUUGAAUCUAUUUAUAAAUUAUACAAGACUCAGUUGACAAGAGCAGUACGUUCCUGUCGGGAGAAUUUUGAUUAAACUCUAAAUGCUCAUAGAAUGAGAAAUAUAAUCUAAACUGAAUGUACCUCCUUCUGAAUAAUUUAUUGCAAUAUAAAUAUAAAUCCCUUUUGACAAGAGAAAUCUGACUUUGUCAGAAAAUAUUUUUUCACAUGUGCAAAGGUAAUCAUGUGUGGCGGCCAUAUUGUUUUGUUUACAAAUUUGUGAAGAAGCCUCUAGAACCAUGACCUAAACAUGAAUAGUCUUCAGAAAACAUAAACUUUAUGCAAUACUAUUUUACCAAUCAUGAUAAUUUUCAUAAAUUUAUAUUUGAUAAUUUAAAGAAAUAAAAUUAUAACAAUUAUGAUUUUAGGUUAGAGAUUCUACACAGACAUGCUUUGAUCUAUUUAUAGCCAAAUUAGUUUACCUGUGUGAAAAUGUAAAUAAUGGAUAUUAAUUUGUUUACUAAACAAGUAAAGACAAACUAUGGAUGGAAGAUAAUAAUUCACAUAAAUAUUUCAGGACAUUUUAUUUAUAAAUAUAGGAUUUAAAAACUGCAAGUGCAAACAAAUUUAAUCAUUACAUAAUCAGCUGAUAAUUUUUUACGCAUACAUCGUGGUGAUGUAACUGAUAAGAAUCACUCUAUCAAUCCUCCAUCCCUUUCACAUAUUAAGCAAUUGACAGGGUUAGUAACAUCUUGGGAUUAGAUUUACUUAUUAUUGCAGAAUAUUCAAUGAAUAUACAUUCAUCGUCUAAUUGAAUAUAUCAGGUAAUCGGAUAUUUUUAGCUGAUAUUUUGGGUAUCCGAUUGGCCGGAGUCUACUGUACUAGAAAAUUUUAACCACAAGUUUAGUGUUUGUGGAAAUAUUUUUAUGAAUGAUGGAUGGGGCUUUUGAAAUAAUGCCUUUUAAGACAUCCAUGUACUUGACAGUUGAAAAAGGAUUAGCAUAAUACCAAAUGAAUAUUCAAACCAUAUUAUUCUUUUCAGUUAUUUUUAAUAUCAUGGAGACAUCUUCAUUUUAUGUUUUUUCUUUCUUUUGAAUUAAAUGAUUGCCUGUAACAAAGAGCACGCAAUUAUCAAAGUAGUAAAAUUUUAUCUAAUGAAUAUUUUUAAUAGUAAAAUUGAUGAGAAAAAGGAAAAAAAACAUGAUUUAUAAAAUUUUGUCACCUCUACAUGUUUACAAAACUUUUAACACUGUUUAGUACAUUAUACAACAAUUGACAUGAAGAAAGCUUUAGCAUUCAAGAAAUGUAAGAAAUCUAUAAUUUUUUUUACACCAAACACAUGUAGAAAGGUUUGGAACCAUUUUAUAUUGGAAUGCUCAAAUGUUUGAUUUAUUGCAUAUAUGAAUUAAUUUAUAUUUUCAGCUGAACUGCUUAUGAAACUUGGUAGAUCAGAAAAAGUAGGUGAUAUUUAUAAAGACCUAAUAACCAGAAAUCCUGAGAACUGGGCAUACUACAAAGGGUUAGAAGAUGCAAUCAAACCAGGUAACUAAUAAUUUAUUUUUAUGGGAAAAGUUAACUGAAAAUAAGAAUAAUAAAAAUUGAUACUAGGAGAAUUUACUACUUUAGGAAAUAAAUAUAUGUGGUUUGCAUUGAAAGGGAAACCAUUUGAAUAUGGAAUGUAUAAUGAUUAAACUUCAUUACUGUUAAACAUUGUGAUUUAUUUUAUGACCAGGGACAGAAGAAGAAACAUUAAAAUUGUACACUGAUGUAGAAGAACAGUACCCACGUGCAUCAGCUCCCAGGAGAAUACCUCUGUCAUUUACAACAGGUAAAUAAUACAUUAGAUUCAUACCCAUUUUCAGAAAAUAAGAACAAGGUUAAGGCAUUCUCUUCCAAAGACAUCAAGCGUAAAUUUUUCAACAAGUGGUAUUUACAUAUUAAGAAAAGAAGGAGACAUGUUUAAAUGUCAUUUUAUAGGGAAAAGCACAAGUAAACUACAUAAUUAAUAAACAAAUAUCAAUAAUUUAAAAGUAAAAUGAAGAUUUCUGUGAAGUUUCAAAAAUACAAAAAAUUAAUUCUAAACUAAUAUUUUAUAAAAGAGUUAUGGCCCUUGAAAAUAUUCAUUAUUUAGAAAAUUUCAUAUGUAUACAAUUCUUGCCAAAAACUGUAUUGUGUAUUUAAAUCCUUUUAAUGUUUAAAAUUUUAUUUCAGGGGAUAAUUUUAAAGGACUGAUGGAUACAUAUUUUAGGAGAGCUUUUCAUAAGGGUGUACCACCUUUGUUUGUAACUGUAAAGAAAUUAUAUUCAGAUCCUUGGAAGGUUUGUAAUAUUAUAAUUGUCUGGUUUUGAAGAAAUACAUUUUGUACAUUCCCCAUUUGCAAACAGCAAUAACACAUUUAUUUUUGAAAAUUAUGUCAGUAAAAUAAUAAGAUAUAUGAUGGCCAACUAUUCACCAUCAUUCUUAAGUUAUGUCCCUUUAAAAACCAAAAAUUGAUCAAUUUUGCCAUUUCGGCACUCUAAACUUCAGCUUGCCUCACCAAAUGUCAAAAAAAUUAUAAACUGCUUAUUACCACCACCAGAGAGUCACACAUUUUGGAUGUCAUUUCUUUCAGUUUUCACUUGAGUUAUGUCCCUUUGGAAAUUGAAAAUUUCUGCUGAAUUUUACCUAUAUAUAUAUACUAGCAUGGGGCAUCUGUGUCCCAUGGAAACAUUCGUCAUCAUUGUUUAUGUUUUGGUAUUUAUUGCAUUGUCAUCUCAUGUAUACCCACCACAUAUCCCCUCAUUUAUAAAAAAUGAGAAGAAGAUACUGUUCAAAUUCAAACAUAAUGCUAGUAAGAAACUUAUUACAAAUUAUGAAUUUAAGCAAUCUCGCAUGUGUUUACAUUUAAAAUAAGAAUGUAGGUAUGUAUGAUUUGAAAAUUUUUGAGUUCCUUGAAGACUAUCAAUAGAUAAUUUGUAAUAGAAAUGUUAUCAGAAGUAUUGUAAAUAAAAUUGAGAAUGGAAAUGGGGAAUGUGCCAAAGAGACAACAACCCGACCAUAGAAAAAAACAACAGCAGAAGGUCACCAACAGGUCUUCAAUGUAGCAAGAAAUUCCCGUACCCGGAGGUGUCCUUCAACUGGCCCCUAAACAAAUAUAUACUAGUUCAGUGAUAAUGAACACCAUACUAAUUUCCAAAUGUAUUGAAAUGCCUUGAAGAUUUCCUGUAAUGUAGACAGUAAUAUUGUCUUUUUCUGAUUGCAGCAACGAACCGUAGAAGAUUUAGUUCUAGGGUAUGCUGAAAAUUUAAAAACUCAUGAAAAGUUUGCAUUGUCUGGUAGGUAUUAAUGAAAUUUUCCAACAACAUAUUGCUUGUGAAUCUCGUUCUCACACUUAAACAUCAGAAAGUCCUUGUACAUAAAAAUUAAACUCGAAGCUUUAUUUGGAUAAUGUUCUUUUUAAUACACUUUGUUUAUUAUGUCGCCUGACAGAAUUCAUCUGUCUUAAGCAACACAUAGAAACACUUCUGUUGUCGUGAGUGCUUUUCAUCUUCCACCUCACACUUUAUGUUAAUUUACAAGUCCUUGAAAACACCAGAAUUUAACCAAACUCACACAGACAUGAAGUUUUGUUUCUGCUAUUUAAGAUGUUGCUAUGGGUGAAUUUGGGUGUUUCUCAUUAUAAGAAAUAGACUUGGCUAUUUUUGUUUAUAUUACUGCGAGACGGAAGGUAACACACAUUUCCUUUGGAAAACUCAAUGAUUAUUUGUACUCUUAAAAGCAUAGAGCUUAGAAGUAAUAAUAAUUAUCGUGAGAAAUAAAAGUAGGAAGAAAGUGUAGUUAAAAAACAAAUCUUAUUUUAAAAUUGAGCCAUAUAAAAAUUAGUGAUUUUAUUUUGCAGAUGAAGGUGAAUUAGAGUCUCCAACAACGCUAUUGUGGGUGUAUUUUUUCCUGGCGUGUCAUUAUGAUUUCCUGGGUGACACAAUCAAAUCUGUAGAGUAUAUAGAUCUAGCCUUAAAACACACACCACUUCUUAUAGAGUUGUAUGUACUCAAAGCCAAAAUAUUUAAAGUAAGUCAAAGCUACUAUGUAUAAAUUCAUUAUAGAAAGUUGAUUUAAUAAUUGUACAACAUCAGUAAGAAAAAAAAUGAAGGGCUUAGGGUUAGGCCUUAAAUGGGAAAUUUUGGAAUGAGCUGACAUGCAUGAAGCAACAGUUACAAUCUUUUUUUGAAUGGAGGUCUACAAAUAAAUUCAUUCAAAAUUCUAGGCUUAUGAUUUUGAACACCAGAUGUGUGUUUGUCUGCACAAGACUUAUCAGCGACACUCAAAUCAUAAGGCUUAAAGGCAAAGUAAAAUGUGCAUGCUGAUCAUGUGCAAUAUAAUUUAAAAAUUAUGGUACCCAAUUUUUACUGAUUUGCUGGUCACAUUGUACAUGUAUCAAUUUUGUUGGAGAAAGAUAUGACAUAAUAAAUUAGAUCUUAAGGAAGUUUUAUAAGGAAUGUAUUUUGAAAUGUUUAUAUGUGUGGUUAUUAUAAAUUUACUGCUUAAUUGACUUUUGUUGCAUUACACAGUAUUCUUGAAGUAACCAAUAGUAAUCUAUUAUAUAUUUACUUCUUUUGUAGCAUGCUGGUGAUAUAGAGGAGGCUGUCCGGUUGAUGGAUGAAGCUCAGUCAUUAGAUACAGCUGACAGAUAUAUAAAUUCCAAAUGUGCCAAGUAUAUGUUAAGAGGCAAUUUAAUAGCAGAGUCUGCUGAAAUGUGUUCAAAAUUUACAAGGGUAGGUAUGCUUAAAGGGACAUUAGCUGACAAAUUCAUGUUUAUCAAUUAGACUUCUCUGUUUAUAUUUAUAUCAUACUUUAAGGUCUAUCCAAAUCACAAAAAGACCUAGAGUGGAUUAAUUAUUUAUAAUGUUCCAAAAUUUCAGCCAACUAUAUUUUGAGCUUAUUUUGAAAUAAUUGAACCAUACUGACUGAAUAGCAAAAUAUUAUUUCACAAAAUCACUUUUAUAAAUGUUUCCAACUUGGGCAUGUAUAGAAAAUAUGUAAGUCUUGAAAUAGUCCUUGUCUGCAUGAAAGACUAAUAAAAAAAUGAUUUGACACAAAUGUUGACCUACAAUAUAGUCAUGUAAAUUCAAUCAAGCAAAAUAUAACAGCUGUUUUGUUCUUAGCAAGGUAUAUUUUCUACUUGUUAUCUAUUUAUAGCAAGGUGUAUUACAUACUUGCCUAUUAAUAGCCAGCAAUUUUCUAUUAUUUUCUAUUUAUAGGAAGGUGUAUCAGCAGUAGAUAAUCUGAACGAAAUGCAGUGCAUGUGGUUUCAGAUAGAAAGUGCUGCUGCAUACCAGAGAAUGGGAAAAUGGGGAGAUGCACUCAAAAAGUGUCACGAAAUAGAUAGGGUAGGUCACUAAGAUCAUUCAAGCAUAGUGAUGACUACAGUUGUCAAGGUACUGCAGAUUCAUUUAUUUUUCAUUGUUUAAACAAAAUUGAUAUUUGAAUAAGGUUUGUGGUGCAAGUCUGCAUACAAGCCUUAAGGAAAUUUGUACAGGUUUUCUGCAGUCGUCAAUUAAACUAUGAUAUUAGAUGUUUGUUUGCUGAGCUUUACUUAGCCAAUUAGUAAGAUAAAAAGUGGUUCUGAACACUAUAUUAUUUAAAAUUAUUUAUCCAAUGGAGUUAUUAUGCUAUAUUAGCACUGUUCCACUGAGGUAAAAGAGGAAAGGGAUCACUUAUUUUUGGACAUGAGUUGUGGGUUAUCAUUGAUUAUCAUUGACUAUUACACCUUUUACAUAUAUAUAAAAUAUAUAAUAAUUUUUGUUAGGUUGUAGUGGUAUUCUCAAAGGUCAUUGCUUCCCCCAAAAUCCAUUUUAAUUUAACCCUUUCGCCAAUGAGUCCCGGUUUACCGGGAUUCACGCUUCAGACAGCUGACGAUGAGUCCCGUUUUACCGGGAUCGGAAUACCUCUUUUAUAUUUCCUGCUCAAAACAGUGCAAACAUGUGUUAUCUUUCUUUGAUGAAUACCCGGAUGAAAGUGUAAACAUGGCGCUUCCGUUUGUUGAAAACCGUGUCAAAAUCUGACGGAAUUUACGAGAAUUUGAAAUGAGGGAACAUUUUUUUUGAAAGAAUAUGGAAGAAUUGAAGCCAAACUAGUAUACUUUUUUGACAUAAAAUGUCGUUUUAUAUACAAAACACUUGGAAUGGACAUCGUUCAGUGUGAGGAAUUUGUACAGCUUCAUAAAAUUUUUCAAAAGUUUGCCGUUUUGGGUUAAAAAAAUUACGAUUUGGGGUCUUAGAGCAGAAUUUUGAGAAUUUCACCUAGAUAAUGCCGAAAAUUUGAAAAUUUGAAUAUUUUAUGAAGAAAAAAUUAUCAAAACAUGAACAAAACUGUGAACAUGGUGUUAGUGGAUGAAAUAAAUACACAAAUAACUACAAACAAGUUUUAUUUGACAUUUAUUAUGAAGGUCUCCCACUUGAGUAAAAGUAGCCAGGGAAGCCAUCGUCUCAGAGUAGCUUCUGUCUGGGCAGCAAUCGGUGAAAGGGUUAAUAGACUUCAUUUAAAUGUAGUUAAUAUUGUGAAAGCUUGACUUGGCAUUUUCAAAACUUUUAGAAAAUACAUUAAAUUUGUGAUGAUUGUUAUAAAUUGUAAACUUUUUUUAUGAUUUCAGCAUUUUACAGAAAUAAUAGAGGAUCAGUUUGACUUCCAUACGUACUGUAUGAGGAAGAUGACUCUCCGAGCUUACGUUGGAUUAUUACGAUUAGAGGAUGUAUUACAACACCACACAUUCUAUUUUAAAGCAGCAAAAAUUGCUAUAGAGGUAAUAUUCUUAUAAUAGAAAAUACUCAUAAAAAUAUUUGGUUAAUUUAUAGAAAUAGGUCUUCAGAUAACAGUAGAAUGAUGCACAAUAGGCACAGAAUACAGCUUCAUCAUUAAACUGUCUGUCUCAUUACAUGUACCUGAACUCUUGUAUUAUGAAAUAAUUUGACAUUUGAUCUUGAACUUAAUUUUAAAGUCAUAAGAAACCUCAAAUUAAAAAAAAAAUAUGCAUAUGUUUUUUAUAACUAAAUAGAUAGUUUUCAUUAUACAACUUAUGCACAUAUACUUUUUUCUGCGGAAAAUUCUUUAAUUUGUCCACAUUUAGAAGUUUACUUAUUUUUAAUUGCUUCCUUCCAGGAAGCAAUUCGCCAGCAUAUUUUCUGUAUGCAUAGUGACCUGAGCGCAACCCUCCUCGUAAAAAUCUGGUGAUCGCAAUAGGCAUGAAUCUGUCAUUAAAAUAAACAAUUAUCUGAUUGUAGAUGUUAAACACUCUAUACCUAUGCUUUUUGUUAUUUGUUUACUAUAAGGUGACAAUCGGUAAACUUCGUCUUCAAAACACAGUUUUUAAUGAGCAGCCAUAUUUGUUAAAUCAUAACAGACAGAGAGAAAAAAAAUUGAUGGUUAAAUGAUAUAUUUGCGUAAAAAAUGAUAAAUUCGUGCACAGAGGACUAAGUUUAUGAUAUAUACAUGCAUUGGUUCAAGAAUUGGAUAAACAUUAUUUUUCACCACUCACUCGUUUCAUAUGACUUUAAUGACAUGAGUGAGGGUAUAUUUCACACUGCAUUUUUUGCAACUCCUGGUUUAAAACCAAUUGUAAUACCUGUUCAAAACUAUUCAAUAAAAAAUGCAUGUCAAAACAAGUUAUCUUAGAGAACGCUUGUAUUUUGCUGUACAGGUAGAUUAACAUUAGUCUAGAACCUUAUUGCACUACAAUAGGAAUUUGAUUUACAUAAUUUGACCUUUAUAAGCUUUAUUCACAGUAAAAGUAACACCCCCAUUUUGUUUAUUGUAGAUUUAUUUACAUUUACAUGACCACCCUCUCUCAGACAGUGAUCUGGAUAGUGCUCUUGAUGCAGGUUGGUAAAAUUUAAUAUAUAAUAAAACAAAUUUAUCUUAUGGUAUGGCUGAUAAAUUAUGAUGUCAUUGGGCCACAAUUAAAAAUAUUUUGGUUUGCCCAAACCCUACCCAAAGGUUGAGACAGUGGGUAGGUAGGUAGGCAUUUUCUUUUUUUUUUUUCAAAAAGAGAAAUUGAAGUAUCGUGUGUUUAUUAGUCUUCAUGCCUAUCUGAUUAAAAAAAAAACUUCUUCAAAUCAGGACAAUAAAAGAAUUUGAGUAGGCAGCUUUUUUCUGGGUAGGUAGCGUUUGGGCAAACAAACGUAUUCUUUUUUAUUGCCUUGGUUAAGUAAAUUUCAUAUGGGGUUCAUGACCUUACAUCUACUGUUAAUGGUGUUAUAGGGUUCACUACUGACUCCCUGUGGAACAUAUCAGGUGAGUAAAAUCCCUGGGAGAUUCCAUCUUUGGCCUCACUCUUUGGAUUUUACUAUUCCUCUGGAUCUGUAGGGGGUCAAAGGCGAACCAUAUAACUUAUAAUAUCAAUUGCCAUUAAAAAGAUGAGAACAAAAGGUAGUAAGAAAGUGAAAAGAUAUUGUAAAGAGGUUUAUUGGAGUUAAUCCAUCCAAUGAUCUUGCUUCUUUCAUAAUUCUACUCUACAAAUAUAGAUUUAACAGCUAGCCAAACUUCAAGGUAGAUUGGGGUAAAAGAUCAAAAUGCCAAAGACACCAUUUAAAUACCUGAAUAUUACCUAUUGGGAAUAAGUCUAUCAUGCAUGCCCUUCCAUAAUUCAGUAGAAAAAUAUUUUGUGUAGUUGAAAUCAAUACAACAAAAUGUCAAGAUCCAAUUCAUUUGUUUCAUUUGAUGGAAAUGAUUAAAUCCUAUUCACAUUUUUUAUUUGCAAAACAUUAAAUGUGUAAAAAUGAAUCCAUAUUUCAGAAGCAUUUAGAGGCAAGAUGUUUAAAGAUGAUUUGCUUUUGGUUAAUAAAAAUGUUGUUUUUUUUUAAAUAUAAAACUUUUUUCAGAAAAUUUGUCUCCUAGUGAAUUAAGAAAGUUAAAGAAUAAGCAACGGAAAGCAAAGAAAAGAGCACAAGCAGAAGCACAACAGAAAGCUGAACAAGAUAAAAAAGAAACUCAUAAUAAAAAAGCUCAGGAUGGUGAAUUAGACGGUCCGAAAGAAGAGGAAUUAGUUCCAGAUAAAUUAAGCAGGGUAUGUCUUUUUAUAUGUCCGCAAAAAUUUAAAAAAAAAUUGGUUGUAUAUUGCUAUCACCUUGUAGUCGUAGUCGUAGUCGUAGUCGUAGUCAUCAGCGUCGUCCAAAGACAAAUGGUUUCCGGAUAAUAACUUAAGUAUAAGUUAAUAGAAAUCAAUAAAAUUUUAACACAAGGUUUGUAACCACUAAAAGGAAGGUUUGGAUUAAUUUUUGGGGUUAUGGUCCCAACUGGUUAGGAAUUAGUUUUAGAUUUAGAUUUGCAAAUUUGUUGCAGCAUAUUUGCAUUUAAGUUAACAUGUCAUCCAAAAAUUUGCCAGGAAAUAUUAUUCUAGUAUAUUUCUUUUAUACCUAGAUUUUGAUUUAUAGAUUAAACAUGUGAACUCUUAGAUAUGCAUAGUGUUAGACUAGGGAAACCAUAUCACAUGGGAUAUGUAAGCAUGUAUUUCUAAUCUAUAAAAUAUAGAUAAUUACUAAUCAUCUAUGUUUAAUAAAAAUCUUGUAUUUGAAGUAAGGGCUAUUCCAGAAAAAAAUGUAUGGGGGGAGGUUGGAAGGCACAUUAUAUUAAUAAUACAUGGGUGAUGGGUAUCAGGGCAACUUUUCACACUGUAAUGCACUAUAAUUCUCAAUUACAAUUAUCUGGGUGGCGGGUGCUGACAAAAACUGCCUUCCAACCCCCCCCAUACAUUUUUUUCUGGAAUAGCCCUAACAAAAGAAUUUUUGUUCAAAAUAUUGUUUUCUUUUUCAGCCUGAUGACCCAUUAGAGCAAUCAUUGAAAUUCCUGAAACCUUUACAGAUGCAUGCAGCACAUAGAAUACACACACAUAUAGUAGCUUAUGAAAUUUAUUCUAGGAAAGGUAAUUUAUAAAAUCUCUCACAUAUAGUGAUAGUUUUAAAUACAAACUGAAAUGUUAUAAAUAUGUAAAUUUAAUCACUUAUUUUGUUAGUGGCAAAUGGUCACAUACAUAAGGUCACAUACAUAAUGACUUUGUAAUUUUAUAUAAAAGAUGAAAUGCUUUCCGAAAACAAAGAAGGAACAUCAAAAGCUUUUUUUUAUGACCCUGCAGCCAAGGGAAAGGGGGGCAUUAAGUUUUACCAGUUUUACCCUUGUCUGUCUUUAUGUCUUGAUCUCUUACUUUAGUUUUUUUCAACCGAAUGUAAUGAGACUUAUAAACAAUACUUAUUACAACUAAACACAGAUCAAGUUCAAAUUCACAUCACUAUCACUGUUCUGGAGUUAUGUCCCUUUUUGAAUUGGAAAAUUUCUGAAUUCCCCAUUUCCAUGUUCUAACUUUAUUUUGCCUCAACCAAAUGUUAGAAAACUUGUACACAAUGCUUAUUACCAUUAAACUUAGAUGAAUUACAAUUAUUAUUGGCAUCUCUGUAUAAAUUGAAAAAUUGCUGAAUAUGCAGUUUAAGCGAUCUGUGUCUCAUGAACAUAUUAUUUUAUUUCAUAUAAUUAGUGGAUAUUAACUUACGGUCUUGAAUUGAUUUAUUAGAUCAUAAAAUUUUAUUUUUGCAGAUAUUAUAUUGUAUAUUUUUAUAUUGUAGGAAAAAUAUUAUUAAUGUUACAGUCAUUAAAGAGGGGAUGUCAAGUAGAAAGAAAUAAUCCACAAUUACAUGUUUGUUUGUUACGAUUUUUAUUGUUAAGUAAGUAGAAAGAAAUAAUCCCUAAUUACAUGUUUGUUUGUUACGAUUUUUAUUGUUAAGUAAGUAGAAAGAAAUAAUCCACAAUUACAUGUUUGUUUGUUACGAUUUUUAUUGUUAAGUAAGUAGAAAGAAAUAAUCCACAAUUACAUGUUUGUUUGUUACGAUUUUUAUUGUUAAGUAAGUAUUAAUUCUGCAUAAAAGUUUGAAAAUGAGGCUUGAUUUUGGCAUAUAAACUAACGAGAUCACAUUGAAGGAUUGACAUGUUGUCACUGUCCAAACUCAAUCAAAGUGCUUAAAAAUUACAGAAAGCUGGAUUCCAAGCAUGGCAGAAAAUUCUCAAAAACAUUUUGGGACUACAUUUAACAACAUGCCUCACAAUACCACUCACAAAUUCUAUAUACUGAAAUGCCCAGCUACUCAAACUUAUUUUAAGAUCUUCAAUAAAAGUUGCAUAUCAAAUUCUCAUACCUGCCAACUUUUGAAAAUGCCCAUGGGGGUUUUAGCGCGCGACAACAGUUUCAAAAUUAACAAUUCUUUGCGACGACUAUUUUGCGCGUGCUGUUUUGUAGUCUAGAAAAAGUGUCAUAUUUGUAAGAUGAGCUUACAUGCCUUUUUCUUAAGUUUAUUUGCAUGAUUCUAGUUAUUAUAUCAGCAGAAAAUAUGAACAUGUAGCUGUAAGACCAGGAAUUAUUUUCAUGUGUAAGGAUACUAGACAUGCUAGAUAGUUGUUGACUUUUAAAAUUUUAAAUUAUACACAAAGAAGGACCUUUAUCAGGUUAGGAACAACACCUAGGGAUCCCCCCUCUAUGUAAGGACAUUAAAAACCACUUUUUAAGUACAAAUGAGCACACAUUCAUAUUAUUUGAAGAAACUUUUCCCAAAGAACUAUACAUCUUAUGAUCUAUCUGGUAUUAUAUGGUCAACACAUGUCCAAAAAUUUUGAUAUGUUCUUGGCCUUAUAUCUUCUUUAUAAUUGAAAAUAAUAGGACUCUUCAUUUAGAAAAGCUGUUCCAAAUAUAAUCUCAGAAUUUCCCAUUUUUAAGUUAAUAAAUCUACAUUUUUCUAUUUUAUUUUUUACAAGAGUGACCCCUUGACUAAGGGUAGUCCCUCAUUUAAAGGAUUCCUCAUGUUGAUGGGGGAGGGGGGGGGGGGCAUGUGAAAAAUAAUGAAUAGUACAUUAUACUUUAAAUGAUUGAAUACAUAAAUAAAAUUAUGUUACAGCAAGUGUACAUGCAUGUAAUGUCAAUAAAUUAGUGAAUAAACUACUAUUUAUUAUCUUUAUGGUAGUACUGCAUCAUUGUAGUUUGUCAAUCAGCCAUGCUUUUAUUCUUAUUCUGUGUAAGAACCUCCUUGCAGUUGAAAAAUCAUUUGCCAUGUUCACGUUUUUAACCAACAAACAGAGGAAUACAACACAAGUUCAAUAUCUAGCAUGUUAAAAUAAUCUUGAGAGAAAACGUUUUUGAUUGGCUGAUUAAUUUGAUCAUGAGAAACACACAAUUUGAUUGGCUGAACACGAUUUUCCUCCAUUGGACACAGUUCAAAAUCGGGAACAACAAUAUUUUCGUGAAGAUUUUCACCAAAUCGUGUUUUAGAGGGUUUUCCAGGAACACGAUCGUGCAAUCGUGACAAAGGGUCAAAAUCGUGUAGUACACGCCUAAAUCGUGAAAGUUGGCAGGUAUGAAUUCUAAAAGCUGGAUUCAUUAUUCCUUGUUAUUUGUGUGUAAAGGUAAAUCAUGAAUUAAAAUGUUAUUGUGUUGUAGAGUCAACAGAUUACAUACUUCUAGACCAUAGGGAGAACCAAUCAGACUAAUUGGGAUACUAUAGGGAUAAAGUUAAUAAUCAAAUUAAAACAAUGUCAGUCCGUUUCUUUGGUCCCAUGUAUGUUUUAACCCUUUCACCGAUUGCUGCCCAGACUGAAGCUACUCCGAGACAAUGGCUUCCCUGGCUACUAUCACUUAAGUGGGAGCACUUCAUAAUAAAUGUCAAUAAAAACUUGUUUGUAGUUAUUUGUGUAUUUAUUUCAUUCACUAACACUAUGUUCACAGUUUUGUUCAUAUUUUGAUAAUUUUUUCUUUAUAAAAUAUUCAAAUUUUCAAAUUUUCGGCAUUAUCUAGGUAAAUUCUCAAAAUUCUGCUCUUUGACCCCAAAUCGUAAUUUUUUAACCCAAAAAUUGAAAAUUUUUACGAUUCCGUACAAAUUCCUCACACUGAACGAUGUCCAUUCCAAGUGUUUUGUACAUAAAACAACAUGUUAUGUCAAAAAAGUAUACUAGUUUGGCUUCAAUCCUCCAUAUUCUUUCAAAAAAAAUGUUCCCUCAUUUCAAAUUCUUGUAAAUUCCGUAAAUUUCCUCUGAUUUUGACACGGUUUUCAACAAACAGAAGCGCCAUGUUAACACUUUCAUCCAGGUAUUCAUCAAAGAAAGAUUACUCAUGUUUGCACUGUUUUGUGUGGGAAAUAUAAAAGAGGUAUUCUGAUCCCGGUAAAAAACAACUAUGUCAGCUGUCUGAAGCUGAAUCUGCUAAACCGGACUAUCGGAGAAAGGGUUAAUAGAACAGUCCUAAAUUGAAUGAUAGAUUUUGAAAAUGAUUUUAAAAUGUAUUGAAGUAGAAAAAUAUCUUGUUUUAAACUAGAAUUUGUCACUUUGACUUCUAAAUCUAGCUAAAAUCUUCAUGUGUGAAUAAUAAUAAUAUUUGUUAUUUUGUUUUUUCAGUAAAACAGAAAACAGAUUUACCAGAACCUGUUAGUAAACUUCUGCAAAGAGAAACAAAGAAAUUUUACAAUCACAAAGACCCUUUAACACUUAAUACAGAAUACCUAGAACAAAAUAAUAAUUCCAUAUUGCAUAGAUUAGCAGGUAUGUAUAGACCCUUUAACACUUAAUACAGAAUACCUAGAACAAAAUAAUAAUUCCAUAUUGCAUAGACUAGCAGGUAUGUGUAGAGAUAUGAUUUGAUACUAUGGAAACUUUAAAAAUAAGAAUGAGGCAACUCUCCACCAGAGAUCAAAUGACAUAAAAGUUUAUAACUAUAGGUCACUGUUUCAGCCUUCAACAAUGGACAAAAUCAAUACAACAUAGUUGGCUAUAAAAGAGCUUUGAAAUGACAAAUUCAAAACAAGAAAGGACUCAAUUUGCCCGUUGAUAUUGUAGAUAAAGGGAAAUGACAUAGAAAUUAACAAUAUACAGUGCGGUCUUCAACCUUGAGCAUAGUCAGCUGUAAAAGUACCCAAAAUCACACUUGUUUAACAUUCAAACGAGAAAACUAACGGCCUAAUAAAUGUAUAAAAAAUUAACAAAAACAGAUUUGUAACACAGUAUCAAAUGACAACCAUUAAAUUAAAAAAACUUUCUGUCUUCAGAAUGUAUCUCAUUUUUAUGAUGCAGUACGAGUGGUCAAACCACACAGCUUGAUAAGUAAACAUGACCACAUCAUGAUACUGUGAUGCCUCUAGGAGUUGUUUGACACACAAGCUUGAGGCAUGGUUUGCCUGGAACAAGUUUAUUACCAGUGCGUUGUUACAUCUUCAAAAAAAUAUAAAAAGAAAAUUCUUCAUUAAUAUUUAUUUAAAUGCUGCUAGAAUUGACAUCUUGAUAAAAUAAACCAGUCUGUUUCCUGUCAUGUCAGUCAAUUCUGUUAGUUGGUAUUCAGCCUAUGGUUGUGUGUGAAGACUCAGUACUUUCUGAUAUACACCUACAUAUACAAAUUUAACAUUAUUAAUAUUAAUCAUAUUAUUCUGCUCAAAAUGGUGCAUGAGGUCAUCUUUAACUUGAACUUGGGUUAAUAUCAAAUAUUGAGAUAUAUAACUGGCUACAUUUCAUUAAAAUUUAUUCAUAUUGGUGACAUUUCCUGCAAAAACAAUUACUUAUAUUUUUGUGUUUUAGGGGCCAGAAUGAUGUAUGAACUUUCACCGACACCAGAGAAACAAGAGGAAGCAUUAAAAAUUGCCACAAGUCUUUCACCGAAAUUACAAGGAAUAAUUCUUAAUGUAAGUUAAGUAAUGCAUAUAUUUACAGUUUUAACAUUUAAAUUAUAAAAAUAAGAAUGUGGUAUAAUGCUAAUAAGACAAUUCCCCGCCAGAUGACCAAAUGUCAUAGAAACUGACAAGUUUAGGUAUCAUACAGCCUUCAAGAAAGAAAAAAACUAACCUGGUUUGCCCUAUAACACAGAAAAAAACUUAACAAAAAUUUUACCCUAAAAAAAAGAAAAUUUUCAAGUCAUUUGACAAAAGCAAAGGGAAACCUUCAUAAUGAAUUAAUAUAAAGUUGACUUUCUAAAGCAGCUGUGCUUAAACUGAUUCAGAUGUACAUAUCUUGUUGUUCUUAUGUUUUAAAUGAAUCAUAACAUUUNNNNNNNNNNNNNNNNNNNNNNNNNNNNNNNNNNNNNNNNNNNNNNNNNNNNNNNNNNNNNNNNNNNNNNNNNNNNNNNNNNNNNNNNNNNNNNNNNNNNNNNNNNNNNNNNNNNNNNNNNNNNNNNNNNNNNNNNNNNNNNNNNNNNNNNNNNNNNNNNNNNNNNNNNNNNNNNNNNNNNNNNNNNNNNNNNNNNNNNNNNNNNNNNNNNNNNNNNNNNNNNNNNNNNNNNNNNNNNNNNNNNNNNNNNNNNNNNNNNNNNNNNNNNNNNNNNNNNNNNNNNNNNNNNNNNNNNNNNNNNNNNNNNNNNNNNNNNNNNNNNNNNNNNNNNNNNNNNNNNNNNNNNNNNNNNNNNNNNNNNNNNNNNNNNNNNNNNNNNNNNNNNNNNNNNNNNNNNNNNNNNNNNNNNNNNNNNNNNNNNNNNNNNNNNNNNNNNNNNNNNNNNNNNNNNNNNNNNNNNNNNNNNNNNNNNNNNNNNNNNNNNNNNNNNNNNNNNNNNNNNNNNNNNNNNNNNNNNNNNNNNNNNNNNNNNNNNNNNNNNNNNNNNNNNNNNNNNNNNNNNNNNNNNNNNNNNNNNNNNNNNNNNNNNNNNNNNNNNNNNNNNNNNNNNNNNNNNNNNNNNNNNNNNNNNNNNNNNNNNNNNNNNNNNNNNNNNNNNNNNNNNNNNNNNNNNNNNNNNNNNNNNNNNNNNNNNNNNNNNNNNNNNNNNNNNNNNNNNNNNNNNNNNNNNNNNNNNNNNNNNNNNNNNNNNNNNNNNNNNNNNNNNNNNNNNNNNNNNNNNNNNNNNNNNNNNNNNNNNNNNNNNNNNNNNNNNNNNNNNNNNNNNNNNNNNNNNNNNNNNNNNNNNNNNNNNNNNNNNNNNNNNNNNNNNNNNNNNNNNNNNNNNNNNNNNNNNNNNNNNNNNNNNNNNNNNNNNNNNNNNNNNNNNNNNNNNNNNNNNNNNNNNNNNNNNNNNNNNNNNNNNNNNNNNNNNNNNNNNNNNNNNNNNNNNNNNNNNNNNUAUGUUUUGUAAUAGUACAUGUCUAAUUCUAUCUACGUUUUAUGUAGUUGGAACAGCUCUGUGCUCUACUAGAUUGUACUGGUACAUACCAUUAAAAAAUUCGAUGACAAAAGAAGAAAAAACAACUUUUUGUGUGCAUUCUGAUAUUAUUUAUUUGUACCCUCACUUAGGAGUGGGGGCUAUAUUGCAUUCUCCUUGAGGAUCAGUCAUCUGUUUGUUAAACAAAUAUUUCCAUCAUCCAUUUCUAAGGGACUGACAGAUUGACCUAUGGUCAGCCACUUGAGAGUGAUAAAUGGUAACACAUAGGCACUUUUCAGAUCUGAUGGACACCUCCUUCCUGUUUACUGGUGCUUUGAAUGUUUCAAUAUGUUGAAAGGAAUUAGUCACCCAUUUCUCCAGGACUAUUGAAUAGCAGACUUCAUAUUUGGUCAGCAGCUAAGCAGUAAAAAGUUGUAAUGUGCGAGUACUUUUGGACACCUACAGUAACUCCUAUUUUCAGAUACUGAAUUUUUCAGUAGGUUAUGUUUAGCACUACAAAAUGUGCUGUUAUAAUAUUUGAAUAUUAACUUAAAACUAACUUAAUCAGUUAUCAUUAUCAUGAAGCUACUGAAAAUGAUAUCUGGUCUCAAUUACCAUGUUAAGUUUUAGAAAAUUGACUUAAAAUACAAGAAACAAAACAGAAUAAUUUGAAAAGAACAACCCAGAAACAAUAAGGGAUUACAAUAACAAGAACUCCAACAAAACUGAUAUUUACAAUUAUUUAGGAAUAUAAAGAUUUCAAAACAGCUAUUGUAUUAUUCUUGGUUGGGUAACUUAGGUUGCUGUUGUUUUUUUCUUCACACAAAUGCAUAUUAACCUUGAAUUUUCAUUCUUCAUGUACUUUACUAGUUGGGUCUAUUCAGAAAAGGGGGCCUCUCCAAUCUCCAACCAAUUACCACAGAGUUUUAUUCUGUACUAAUUCAGGAAUUGAGUAUUAAUAAAUGAACGUUUUUUUUAAAUCUUAGUUUUUGAAAGACACUUUCUUUAUGCAAUAUUAAUUAAAUAAGAACAUUAGAUAACAACAUUUGUCAACAAUUCCACCAAUGUUUGAUUGCUUAUAUACUCCUGAAUAAAUGAAAUAGCUAAAAUUUGCUUAGCUGCUUCAAACUUUAGGAUGUUCUUUCAACAGGCGAGAUAUGUUCAAUUAAUAAGUCCUGUCACCUGAAUGAUACCAUGAAAUAUGUUUACAAAUAAAAUACUAUUUUACAACAAUCUGUGUUCCUUAAUAGAUGAAAGAACUCGCCUAGAGUGAAGGGAUCAAAAUCCAUUGACUUUGCAAAAACUAGGCAUUUUGUAGUUUCUCCUCUCCUAGUACCAUAUAAUGUGUCAGUUUUCUUGAAAACUGUUAUCCUCUCAACAAACAAUGAAAUUAUGAAAUGUUUUUCUAGUACAAAGCAGAUUAUUUAUAGCUCCUGAAAAUGCUAUUAUCCUGAAACUGCAUGUAGUAUUUGCCAUAAUUGAUGACUAUACAAAAAUGAGCUUGCUAUAUCACAACAUAAUGGUACACAAGUAAAAUGUGAAGAAUCCACAUCUGACAAUAUAAAAAAGAAGAUGUGGUAUGAUUGCCAAUGAGACAACUAUCCACAAAAGACCAAAAUGAAACGGACAUUAACAACUAUAGGUCACCUUCAACAAUGAGCAAAGCCCAUACUGCAUAGUCAGCUAUAAAAGGCCCCGAUAUGACAAUGUAAAACAAUUCAAAUGAGAAAACUAACGGCCUUAUUUAUGUAAAAAAAAAAUGAACGAAAAACAAAUAUGUAAUACAUAAACAAACGACAACCACUGAAUUACAGGCUCCUGACUUGGACAGCACAUACAUAAAUAAGUGGUGGGUUAAACAUGUUAACGGAUCCACCCUCCCCCUAACUUGGGACAGUGGUAUAACAGUACAAUAUAAAAACGAACUAUAAAAAUCAGUUGAAAAAGGCUUAACUCAUCAGAUAGACAAAAAUACAAGUGGACGUGGCCAGGUACUUAUACAUCCCGACACAAAAAGACAUAAUGAACAGAUCUGAGAGUACUCGCAGUUAUCUGACAGCUAGUUCAAAGCCACUAACAACUAGUAAAAAAAUCAUGCAUCUAAGACUAAACCGGCGUUUUGCAUUUGCGCCGAUCUGCAUUUCAUUUGCGCCGAUUUUUUCUUUCAUUUGCACCAAUUUUUUUUUUUUGCCAAUUUUUUUACAGGUAAAUAACAGGUAAAUUACAGGUGAAAUGAUAUAAGAAGAUGUGGUAUGAGUGCCAAUGAGACAAACUCUCCAUCCCAGUAAUGUUAUUACAUUUAUCAUUAAAGACCUCUUCCGUUAGCCAGUGACAUAUGUUAUGAAUUUUCAAUCAUAACAUGUAUAUAACUGUUGUCUCUGCUUAAAUCGAAGUAAAAAACCUAAGAUAAAAGCACUUUGUUGUACUAAAAUGACGAAUUAAAAAUAUAUGUACAGCAUUCAAAUCCAUAAAACGGAAUACAUUCAAAUCAUAAACCUGUUCUUGCCGAGUAUGUAUAGGCAACACAUCUCAUAUAUUCCUUUCUUAUGAUUUCGUCUCUUUAUAUAUUGGCGUAAUUGUCGAUAACGAAGGGCCAUCUUUUCUUUGUCUGCAUACUUACUGGUUGGGCAUUUCUAGAAUCGCAUUUCCUCAAGGAGCUAUAAAUCAAGAGUUCCAAAUGGUGAAGUUGAAAUCAUCCUUCGUUAAUUUAUGGACCCCAUCACGAAUUGGUUGAACCGUUUGGAAUGUGUACUUGUACGUUGUCUAAGAAUGUAUCAUUUGUCAUCAGAAGGAGUUCAGACAAUGUGAAAUGUGAAGCAGUCAUCGAUUCAUUUAGGAAAAGGAAUGUUACCCGAAACUUGGGAUACCAUUUACCAAUUGCAAUGUCACUUGAUUUGUCUUUAUACUCUGUGAUCAUCAAUUAAAAGUAUGAUUUUACCGUAACUUACCUGUAAAUCCAAUAGGAAAAAUAUAAAAUCGGCGCAAAUGAAAAAAUGAAAUCGGCGAAAUGAAAGAAUGAAAAUUUUCAAAAAUCGGCGCAAUGUCAUACGCCCGACUAAACUAUCAAUCCGUACACAUCCAACAUCCAAUGUAUGUUGAGGCUUUAUAAAAAUCUUCCUAGAUUUUCAGCCAAAUUCUUUUAAAAAAAAUGGGGGGUGCAUAUUUUAUUCAUAUCUUAGAUUGCAUCUACAAAGGGAAAAUCCGUUAUUGAUUUCAGGAUGUAUGGUGGAAAAGCUGCUGCCAAACAGUGUCUGCGAUAACUUGAUAAGACUUUGACAAAAUCUUUUCAAAUUGUGAUAUGUUGUUUCCUGUGACUAAAUAAGGGUCAAGGUCGAUUUUCAAGAUUUUAGCUUUUAUCAUUGUUGAGUUGUAGACCUUAGCAGAGUGAAAAUCAUACUUAGUUUAUACAACAGAAAAUGGAAUCCAAUUGAGGAUUUAUUUUUUAUUAUUUCCCUUUGAAAAUAAAUGGUGUAAUUAAUAAGUAUAUGGAUAGAUAGUCUAGUCAAUUAUUGUAUCCAUUCAAUUGAUUUUAGUCAGCAGUUGUCAACAAUUCUUUUUUUAAUUACAGUGACCUUUGGGGUAUCACAAUAGCAAUGGCCAAACAGUUUACCAAAUUGCAGUUUAUUUCUUCCCACAGAACUGAUCCAACUGGUCAAUAUUUUGCAGAUUGUUCAAGUGAAAUUGUUAGUAUGAAGUGAGGCUGUAAUUCAAAGUAAAUACUUACCAUCCAGAUUCCAGUUGUUGAAUCUUGUUUCUUUUCAAACACAAUAAUGUCUUAGAUAGUAUGAGUCACUGAAUAAAGAAGUCUAAUGACAAGGAAACUUCUAUCAUUAAAUAGAUUAUAAAUAAAUAGUUCAACCAUUGUUUUGUAGAUGUAUUUUUAUAGUUUGUCUUCUAGAAAGUUAUGAUUAAUUGUAUAAUUUUAUACAAUACUGAUCUCUGGCAUAAGGAAAAUUUUUAUUGAGUUUUGUACACUAAAAAUUAAUCAAUGAUACCAGGCUUCUGAUUUUGCCUAAAAAAUCAUCAAUACGACUUGAAUAAAAAAAAGAUGCCAAAUUAGGAGAAGUUGAAGGCCUUUAGGACACAAUUCAAAGGUUUUGACAAUACUGCUUAUAAGUUAUCUUGUGCCAUGUAGAGAUCCUUAUUAAUAACUUUGAACAAUGCAAAGUGCAACACUGUUAACUAUAAUUUUACCAUAUAAAAAAUUCAUGUCAAAAUAAAAUUACUGCUACUGGCUGUGAUACGUUCUUAAUUUACAGGGAAUUUAUUUAUAGAACUUUGAAUGUUUUCAGAAUAGUUUUUAACAGUUUUUUUCAAAAUUUUAUCAUCUUAAAAAUAAAUUCAUUGUUUCUUUUCAAAACAGAGGGAUAAAAGUUAAUAAUCAUAAAGUAAUGUUACAAACAAAUUAAAUGAGGAAAGUUAAGUAACAAAUUUAACACAUUUGCUGAUUUUCAGUAAUGUAAAUUAUUUCCUUUAAUGGUAGCAGAUAAGUAAUUGCUUUGAAAAAAAAAUCCAAAUUACAAUUAUGCACUAACUUGUUGUUGGAAAACGAGCUAUAAAUUAUAGACUUACAAAACAAUGUUUAACUAUUUAUUUAUAAAAUAUUAUGAUAGAAGUUUCCUUGUCAAUAUUAGACCUUCAUCAGUACUCAUACUAUAGUAAGUCAUUAAUAGUUAUCCCAUAAGGACGCGGUGUGUCAGUGUAAGAUCACCCCGAUGGCCGGAGGCCAGAGGGUGAUCUAACACUGACACACCAUGUCCGACUGGGAUAACUAUUUUACAUCCCAGCUGUUUUAUAUUAGACUAAAAACCAUUUACAAUUCAUAAAAUCUAGUUUAGAACGUCACACAACCAUAAAAAUACUUUAUAUAUUACUAUAUGAUGUAUACCCUUUUUGACCCCCAAACACGAUGAGUAGAUAUCAAACAAUGUCAACUCGCCCCACUUGCCAAUCGGCCCACACUAUAUCGCCACUUUAUAAAAAUAUCGUCCCACUCUUGUUUACCGACUUGCUCACUUUGAAAAAGUGUAAAAUCAAAUUGAACAAUCAGUCUGAAAACUCAUUAAUUAACGAAAAAGGUAAAAACCCCACUGAAUAAAGGUCUGACAACUCGCCCCACUUAUAAAAAGAUCUUAAUUGCUACCUUUAAGUAUAUCAAAUUACUAUUAUUUCGUAUCCAGUCGUCCUGGUGUAGUGGUAUGUGUCGCGGCUUGAUAUGCUAAAGGUCUUGAGUUCGAAUCCCAGCAUAUACACUGGAUUUUUUCUACGUGAAUUUUGAUAGGUAGUCUUUUCCGUAUAAUUAAUAAGUUUUAUAGUGGAUUUGACAUUCCCGCCAAAAUGUAACAGAACAAAGGAAAGCAUGCAUAACAAAGAAACUCAAACUGGGGUGAUCUGGUAGGUAUGAUCCGGCUCAGAUCACCCCUGUUAGAACAAAGGAGCUGGGAUGUAAUUAUGUGUUUGAAAAGAAUACAAAGAUACAACUAACUGAUCUGGAUGAUAAGAUUACUUUGAAUUUACGCACUCACUUCAUACUACAACAUUUCACUUGAGCAAUCUGCUAAAAAUAUUCUACCAGUUGAUAGUUAGUUGGAGAAGAAAUCUAACUGCAAUUGGUAAAUGUUUUGGCCAUUGCUAUUGUGAUACCCCAAAGGUCACUGGAUAAGCACAGUAACUAUUUUUAAGUCUUUGUGUGUUUUGAAGGUAGAUGUGACUUCUUUCUCAACAAAAAUUAAAACACAAAAACUUCUGUUGCAGAAAGCUAAAGAUAGUGAAAGUGAUCUGGUAGCGUUUACUAACUUCUUAAAAGUUUAGUUUUAGAAGGUGGAAGAUCAGGAUGCUUCAUACUUUGUAUGCAGAUUUCUUAUGUAAAAAGUUUCAGUCUGCCAUAUGUCCAUUGUCAUCUUAUUUUUAUGGUUCAGUGACUACUUGAAUAAAAAGUUAAGAUUUUUUGUCACGUUGAUUUCUUUCUUAUGAGGAAUAGGAUAACUAUUUUUAGUAUGAGUGUACCUUGCAAGGUCCUCAUGCCCGACAGUUUUCAUUUAACCUCAACCUCAUUUCCUUGAUCAAUAAACUAAUAGGUUGAAUUUUCAUGGUCAAUAGAUAUAGGAAGAUGUGGUAUGAGACAUCUCUCCAUCCAAGUAACAAUUUUUCAGAUACUAUAUUUGGUGUAUGGAAUGAUAGGAAAGUGUACAUGUCCAACUGGUAGGUGUCAUCUGACCUUGAACCAAUUUCUAUGGUUCAGUGGUCAAAGUCAAGUGCUUGAAGUUUUGUCUUUUUAUAGUAUUAUAAUUUAUAUGCAAUAAGUCAGCUAUAUUUUGUGUAUGGAAAUUUUUUAUGAUGUACGUUUGACCACGACAUGAUUUUCACGUUUUUUUCUCAAAUUUAACCUUUUGUUUGUGUCUGUUUUUCUUUUAACCCUUUCCUCCAUGGAAUUUUUGUUUUAACAUACUUGAUUCGCAUAGGAUUUUUUCAAUAAAAAAAAAUCAUCAGGUUUAACAACAACAACAACAACAACAACAAUACUUUAUUUUAAGAGGGUUACACAGUUAGCUAUAUAACUAAUCUUCCCUGAGGCCCUCGUAAUGAAAAAUCAAACAAAACACAAACAUAUACUAGUACAUUGCAUACAUACAUUAGCAUAAAAAGUCAAGUGUGAUAAUAAUGUUCAAUACAACUUAAUGUAAGUUAAGUAAUGCAUAUAUUUACAGUUUUAACAUUUAAAUUAUAAAAAUAAGAAUGUGGUAUAAUGCUAAUAAGACAAUUCCCCGCCAGAUGACCAAAUGUCAUAGAAAUGACAAGUUAGUAUCUACAGCCUUCAAGAAAGAAAAAAACUAACCUGGUUUGCCCUAUAACACAGAAAAAAACUUAACAAAAAUUUUACCCUAAAAAAAGAAAAUUUUCAAGUCAUUUCAGGGAUCUCCAUGGCCUGUUUAACGAUGGAGCCCCGCCAUCGUUCAAAUGUCUUGCGCCAUCGUCAUACUCGCGCCAUCGUUAAAUUGUCUUGCGCCAUCGUUAAAUUGUCUUCCGCCAUCGUUCAAAACUUCAUCCCUUUUUGUAGCCCGACGCCAUUUUUUUAUCAAUUAUAAUCAAAUGCAUGUAAUUGCAUAACCCUUAGGCUUUUUAUGUUAUAAUCCAAUACAGUUCUAACGCCUGAGGGAUAUCCGGAUUAAGAUCGCUAAUUACUUGACCUGAGCUUGUAAGGUAAUCAACAAACCAGACAGGAGAAUACUAUCUGCGAUCAUUUGUCGAAGUAAUCAACUAAGUUUCAGCAAAUGAUUAUGAAUCAUUUAGAUUAAAUAAAUAAAUUAAUAAAUAAUCCAGUUACAAAGAAAACAGUUAACAAGUCGACCGUGCUUUAUUUUGACGUAUGCCAAUCAGCAUCCCCCUUUUUUAAGAGUACAAAAUAAGACGCAAAACAGUAAUAUUAUUUCAUCGCAAAAACUCGAGUACUGCUGUAACGAUAAUUAGAAUUACUUAAAAGUUUAAAAGAAAAACUUAAAUAUUUCCUGUAAAGAAAUAUGUAUCUAAUUCCGAUUCAUUUCGUAUAUUACAUCAAAUUCAUUACAUCCGCGUUUCCGGUUUCUAUCAGACUCGAAAGAGCAUUGACGCAUCAAUUUUUCCAGAUAAAGUCAUUAAAAAACCUUUUCAUUGUCAACGUUUGCUUUACAAAUCUCUUUACCUUACAAACCCGUACGAAUUGUUUUUUGUAGUGCUAAUAGCAUACUGGUAAGGGCUCCGAUUUGGACAGUGUCACAAAAUUAAGCUCCACAUCAGAUGAUUUUUAACCCCCAUAACAAUUACCAAAAAUAAAAGAAAUCUGCAUGGGGACCUUCAUGACAGCUUUUGGUCAUUCUCGACUAAGGGGGGACCAUGAAGACUUGGCAUUUGAAUGGUUUAAAACGGCGAAUAAAUAAAAUACUAUAUUCUAAUUCUAUAAUGAAAUUCAAUAAAUAUAAUUUAAAUAAGCAAUGAAUUAGCAUGUUCACCAUUCCUUGUAUGAGGAUAAAAAUUCCGAUCGCGCUACAUGUUACAGCGUAGACAAGGUUGUAAUGGUGAAAUUCCUCCAUUCAAUUUUCAUCCAUGGAGAUCCCUGCAUUUGACAAAAGCAAAGGGAAACCUUCAUAAUGAAUUAAUAUAAAGUUGACUUUCUAAAGCAGCUGUGCUUAAACUGAUUCAGAUGUACAUAUCUUGUUGUUCUUAUGUUUUAAAUGAAUCAUAACAUUUAUUAUUAAUAGUGGAGAACAUACUUUGGUUUUUGGGGCUUUUUAUAGCUUGCUGUUGGUGUGAGCCAAAGCUCCCAUGUUGAAGGCCGCACCUUGACCUAUAAUGGUUUACUUUUAUAAAUUGUUACUUGGAUGGAAAGUUGUCUCAUUGUCACAUCUUCCUAUAUCUAUUUAGUGGAAUUCAUGUGUAUAGGUUAACCAUGAAUUAAUAUAUAUUUAUCUAUAGGCUUCAUGGAUAAGUUGUUCCAACAUGAAAGCAAUGGUUCUAUCCACAUUAAAAAAAAUGCUGAUGUUAAAAUGGUUUCAUUUACAUUUGUAGAAUUGUAUAGAAGUGCUUGAAGCAAUGUGUCGAGGUGAUUUUGGAAAAUGUGAGACGACGGCACAGAAAUACCAAGCUGACUGUCAUAAACUUUUCCCUUAUUCUCCAUCAUUUAUCAUCCCUGCCAGCAAUCAACCAGACCAA
rnacentral:lncRNA from 1 species